CUACGUGCCAGCAGCCGCGGUAAUACGGAGGAUGCGAGCGUUAUCCGGAUUUAUUGGGUUUAAAGGGUGCGUAGGUUGUUCGGUAAGUCAGCGGUGAAACCUGAGCGCUCAACGUUCAGCCUGCCGUUGAAACUGCCGGGCUUGAGUUCAGUGGCAGCAGGCGGAAUUCGUGGUGUAGCGGUGAAAUGCAUAGAUAUCACGAGGAACUCCGAUUGCGAAGGCAGCUUGCCAUACUGCGACUGACACUGAAGCACGAAGGCGUGGGUAUCAAACAGGAUUAGAUACCCUGGUAGUCCACGCAGUAAACGAUGAUUACUAGGAGUUUGCGAUAUACCGUCAAGCUUCCACAGCGAAAGCGUUAAGUAAUCCACCUGGGGAGUACGCCGGCAACGGUGAAACUCAAAGGAAUUGACGGGGGCCCGCACAAGCGGAGGAACAUGUGGUUUAAUUCGAUGAUACGCGAGGAACCUUACUCGGGAUUGAA
rnacentral:rRNA from 1 species